AAAUACAUGCCUCCUUGUAUUUAGGCUUAAAUCUAGUAUAAUGAGAGUGAAUAAUGUCUUUUUUUUAACAAUAUAUGCUGUAUUUUUCUGAUUUGUGGAACAUUAUACUUUUUUUUUUUUGAUAACCUUGUUUUACCCAGUUUUCUUUUCUCCCAGUGUUUGGUUCUCAUUGUGAUACUUACUAGGAGGAAAUACAUAUCUUUAUAUUAGUAAGUCAGGCAAAGACUGGAUAGAACCUGUUCUAAAGAACUGACUUCCUAUGGUGGACUUCCAAAUUGUAGGGUAAACUUAGGAACUGCAAAACACAUGCAUAUGUUCAUAUAGUUUAUUAUAACAUGAGAGGAAAUAACUCUCCUUUAGAAGGUACAAAGAAAUCAGUAUUUUUACAUUGAAAAAAUAGAAUAAAUGUCCUAGGCUUGCUGAUUCUUUUGGCUGUCUAACACAUCAGUAGUCUUGAAAUGGCUACGUCUAGAAUGAAAGUAUAGGGCAAAAAGUAGCUAUUGAUAAUUUGUAAUUUUCAUUGGUGAGUGAAGCUAGUAACUCUGGGCUUAACUAAGUUUAUAGUUUUAAACUAGAAACUGCAUAUUUUACCACUAAUAUUUGGUGAUAUUAUUUGCUGUAAGUAUCAAUAAACUUAUGAUUAAAUAUUCAUUUGGGGCAAAUAGGACAAGCAAUUAAACACAGUUGCUCAUUUUCUCAGUGACUUAGAAAGUUUUCAUUUGCCUUACUUUACAAAGCCAAUUUAAAUAGGAACAUAUUACAUCAUACUCCAAAAGCAAACAACCUCAGAAGAAAGGCAUUAUUAGGAAGGCCUAGGUCUGUGUUGGACAACAAUGAGGCAUACGAAUGAAUAAUUGUUUGCACUAAUAUUUGAGCAGAUGGAAUGGAUUAGAAUAUGGUCAACAUUAUUCUGCUGACAUGUAUUUUUCUGUUAAUUUGUACUGUGCAACAUGUGUUAAAGCUGUCAAUUCAUUUUAGUCAGGAUACUAAUAUUUGUAUUACUGUGUUUAAGAGGCAGUAUCCAACUGAGCCACUUUUAAUUUAAAAGUCUGAGACCAGAAUUAUGUUUGCAUUCCAGAAAGCACUUAACUUACUUUAUAAUCAAAAGGUCAGUGAAACAGACUUAUCAGUGCCUGCUACUUACUAGGAGGAAGUACAUAUAUUAGUAAGCCAGGCAAAGAUUGGAUAGAACCUGUUCUAAAGAACUAACUCCCUAUGGUGGACUCCCAAAUUGUAGAGUAAACUUAGGAAGUGCGAAACCCUGGUGCCCCUGUCAUCUUAGGUAGGCAGCUGCCCUUCAAUGAGGCCAUUCUUUGUGCCUGCCUGCCUGCCUGCCAUUUUCUCUUAGUUCCCUGGGUGAUCUCAGUUUCUUUGAACUCUGGCUUUUUUUCUUUUCUUUUUCUUUCUUUUUCUUUCUCUCUCUCUUUUUUUAUUGGUAGCAGUUCUGUCAAAUGUUCAGCUUUUUACAAUAAAGAUAUCCAACUAGAAAUGCAGACACAGUACUGACCUAAAGAAGACUGAGGCUACCUCUGUGUAUAUUGUUUGUAAACACUGCAGGGAGCACACAGAAAAGUGUGUGAAAAUACUUUAUAACUAUUUUUCUAAGUGCCUAUUAGGAUUCUCCAGUAGAGUGUAUUUUCAGAUUUUUACCACAAGGGGGUGAUGUUAUUUUUAUAGUGAUAACAUUUUUAUUUGAAAAGUAUACUUCAUAUAGCUUUACUGAACAACAUCUAUGAACACUACUGUCAAGCGCUGCAGGGGUGGGUGUUUGUAUGUGCACGUGAAUCAGAAAGUCAUCCAUCCAUGAGGAAAAUUCUGAGGAAAUUCACAUAAAACAUGUUUCUACACAGUAGAUGGAGAACAUGAACCAAAUUCACAACUAAAAUUGUGUUUUUAGAGUUUUGUGUAUUACAUCGAAUUCUCUUUUCAGCAUGUUUAAAAAUAAGGGCAUUGACUUAUUGUCUGCAUUUACUCUUUCAUGGGAAACUUUUGAAAUAAGCUCAAGUGUAAAGAGAGGGUAUUAACAACCUUACCAAAGAAACCUGCCCCCUUUAAGGGUAGGUUGCUCCCAUGAUGCUGUUGUCUUGCAGUCUUUUGCAUUUUCCAGUAGAAUUCUGUCUGACGAGGCAGUGGUCACACUCAGGAGUGUGCUUUGACAUGUAACUGAUUCUCAUGAUCCUCACACCCCACUGUAGGUUUACUGGUUUGUCUCAACAAUGUCUUACUCUGGGAUCCAGAGGAAAAUCCCACAGCUGCAAGUUGUCUGCAGUUCAUUUGCUUGGGCAUCUGCAGCCUCUGGCUUUCCCAACCCUCCAUACUGUGUGCAUUAUAGGCUCGCUAUAUGUCCCUGAGUUUGGAUUCCUGUUUGUUUGCGGCUAGAUCGCAGUCGUACUUCUCAGUGUUCCCUCUUAUAUUCAUACAGCUCUACCUCACUCACUUCUGAAGUGCUCGUUUAGAUGCUUGUUAAGGGGACAAACCUCUCCACUGUGUAAAGCUACCAUCUUCCCCUUUAAAAGUAUAUUGUAGGAAGUUGCUAUGUGUGUGUCUUAGACCUAAUUGUAAUUUCAAUCUGUUACCAAUUUUCUAUUCAAGGUUAGUGAGCAUUGUCUCUGGUUUGAUCAGUGGAAGCCCUUUUCAGAUUGGCUCUUUUGGCAGUCCCAUCAUUUUAAAAGCACUGUCUUUGCACUCCGCACAACAGAAUUUUCCAAAUUCAUUUUGUACCUAUCCACCCUAGCUUUCCCAUCCAAGUACUUACAAACCAGGCCCAAACACGCUUCACUGCCAAGGUGAGAUGUGAUUGAGCAUCUUCAGGGUGGUAUGGCUGUAGACUUGCUGUAGCUCUUAAAUCAGUAUCCUACGUUUUAGUGGAAACUGAUACUUGGAAGCCAGGGUUUGUGCGUUGGUUAUACUUAUAAUGGAGAUGCUGCUGCAUCUUCUAGUAUUUGGUGCUUGGGAAUAUAUAUAUAUAAUCUUGUGUGCCCCUCCUCCUUUGUCUUACACAGCCCCUGUGAGCUUCAAUGCCCCUUACUUGCGUCCCUGUUCCUAUGCAGAGGAGGGCAUCCUCAUCCUACUUAGCUACUGAGUAUUGCCUUUAGAUCCAAAAUGGAGGAACAAGAAUGACCAUUUUAGGAAUUAUGUGAAUUGAAUGUUGUUCGUGCAUGCCUUUAAUCCCAGCACUCGGGAGGCAGAGACUGGUGGAUUUCUGAGUUCAAAGCCAGCCUGGUCUAAGUAGUGAGUUCUAGGACAGCCAGAGAAACUCUGUCUCCAUACAAACAAACAAACAAACAAAGGAAACCACGUUAAGAUUUUUAAAUUCUAAAUAAGUUACUUGUAACUUUAACACUCAAACAACUACAUGGGGAGAGGGUGCAGUAUAGUGAGGGAAACAGCAAACCUGAAAUGCACGUAAAAUGUUAUGUACACCAAAGGGGUUCAAACUUGAAACGCAUAGCAUGUUUACAUCUCUUUACUACUGUAAUUGCGUUUUUAAUGAUAGAUUACAUCAUAGGAACUGUGAAUGAAAAUUUAGCUGUUAAAUACUGGAUAAGAUUUUUGCUAAUAAAUUUCAAAGG
rnacentral:lncRNA from 1 species